GCCCGGGUGGCGGAACGGUAGACGCAGGCGGCUUAAACCCGCCGGCCCGCGAGGGCGUGGGGGUUCGACUCCCUCCCCGGGCA
rnacentral:tRNA from 1 species